CGGGAACUCAAAGGAGACUGCCAGUGAUAAACUGGAGGAAGGUGGGGAUGACGUCAAGUCAUCAUGGCCCUUACGACCAGGGCUACACACGUGCUACAAUGGCGCAUACAAAGAGAAGCGACCUCGCGAGAGCAAGCGGACCUCAUAAAGUGCGUCGUAGUCCGGAUUGGAGUCUGCAACUCGACUCCAUGAAGUCGGAAUCGCUAGUAAUCGUGGAUCAGAAUGCCACGGUGAAUACGUUCCCGGGCCUUGUACACACC
rnacentral:rRNA from 1 species